UACGUAGGGCGCAAGCGUUGUCCGGAAUUAUUGGGCGUAAAGAGCUCGUAGGCGGCUUGUCACGUCGGGUGUGAAAGCCCGGGGCUUAACCCCGGGUCUGCAUUCGAUACGGGCAGGCUAGAGUGUGGUAGGGGAGAUCGGAAUUCCUGGUGUAGCGGUGAAAUGCGCAGAUAUCGGGAAGAACACCCGUGGCGAAGGCGGGAUCCUGGGCCAGUACUG
rnacentral:rRNA from 1 species